rnacentral:rRNA from 1 species
GUCGAGCGAGGUAGCAAUACUUAGUGGCAGACGGGUGAGUAACAUGUGGGUAUCUGCCCUUUGGCCUGGAAUAACACGAGGAAACUUGUGCUAAUACCGGAUAAGUCUUUACGGAGAAAGCUUUAUGCACCAUUGGAUGAGCCCGCACUUGAUUAGCUAGUUGGUGAGGUAAAAGCUCACCAAGGCGAUAAUCAAUAGCUGAUUUGAGAGGAUGAUCAGCCACACUGGGACUGAGAUACGGCCCAGACUCC